AAAAGUCAGAAGCGUAAAAGAGUAUACGUUUCUCCAUUAGUGAAGGGUUUGCCAUUCAAAGAUGUGAGAAGCAAGGAGAAGCCUUCAAAGGCACCCCCAGAAGUACAUAAGGAAAAACAAGAAGAUGUGAUCCAAAAUCAGUUUUUUUUUCCUUAUAACUAUCAUUAAUAUCUUAGAUAAAAAAAUGUAAUUGGUCUGAUGGCGAGUGAAUGGUGCAAUUAUGAUAGCAAUGCAGCCUUUCAAGACAUUGUCAUGAAGUUGCACAAAUAGUAUGUUAAAUUGAUACAUUUAAAGUAUGCAUUUGUACUUGACAGUAUCAUGUCUUACAAUCUAAAAUCUUAAAACAACUUUCACUGCUUGGUUGCACUUGUAUGAUUGUCUAUUGUAAAAUUGGUGGUAGGUAAGCACAUUUGCUAUGUUCUUUAAUUUCACUAAUGCACAUCACAGGCAGAGACAAAAGGUAAUAGUGCUGAUCAAAUCUAUGUGGAGCCCAAAACACUCGAGCAGACUGAAAAACAGAGAAAGAAAGCUCCAGGGAAGAAUAUUAGGAGAAGACGGUCAAAAAUUGAGGGGCCAAUCUGGGACGUGUUAAAUCCAUCUGAAAUAACUGCUCCUAGAAGACUAUCCAGGCCAACCAAAGUAAACAUGCUGCAACAAAUCCUUCACCAGGAUUUUUGGUUGACCUCUGAUAUCAUCGACCUGGCCAGCUACAUCUUGGCAAAGGACAAUGUGCACAAUGAUGGGUUUCAGUCCGUUCUGCCCUUUAGUGCUAUUGCAAAUGGAGGGAUUGUGGGAACUCCACAAAAUAAAUUUGUGCAGAUUUUGCACAUUCGGCAAAACCACUGGAUCACAGUUAGCAAUUUAUUUUGUGGUGAA